GGGAGCUUGGUUACCUAGCAACGGGGAGUCUGCGCGGAGGACGCGGUUCCCGGGCCUUGGGCGGGGCUGCUGCGGAGUUUACCGGGAGGCCCAAAGUGAAGGAAAGCGGCGAACCCGCAGCGUUCCCGGAACCGGACAGUUGCCACAUCCUGCGUCUGCACUUCCGAGGAGAGGGAGUCAAGCCCGCAGUAACUCGGGGCGGCUCGUCACCCCCUGAACCGCUAUGAGUGCCCGGGGCUGUUUCUCUCGCGCUUCAUAGUUGUCUGAGUCGGCUCAGCUCGCGGGGAGACCCCUUGGAGCAACCAUUUGUCUUUAUUAGUGGAGUUAUAUGCAGUUAAUAUACCUGCCUUCAGUGUGUGCAGAACAUUUUCCUUGUGGAAGUCUGGUGCGGUGGAAAUGCUGGAGAGAUCAGAAGUAGGCAGAGCACCCGGCAGACAGAAAGGAGGAAGCAGGCUCCCCACCAAGCAGAGAGCCCAAUGCUGGGUUCCAUUCCAGGACCCUGAGAUCAUGACCAGAGCUGAAGGCAGAGGCUUAACCCACUGAGCCACCCAGGCGCCCCUCGCUCCUGCAUUCUAACAACGUGCUUGCAUGACCUUGAAAAUGUGCAGCUCAGCUCGAGGUCUGGGGAAUGUCAAGAGGAGAGGGCCCCAUGGCAAAAUGCCCCACUAUGCUCUGAAUCCACUACCACUAUGCCAAAGACACACUUCACCACACAUGGAGGAAGCGCUCUGUGAUUAUGCCAUAGAUGUCCUUUCUCAGGCUGUGUCCGUGCCACAGAAUCACACAGAGGGGAUGACUGUGCUCACUGCUGCCAUUGCUUGAAAUCGAAAGUGGGCAGAGGAAAGGUUGUUAUCUGAUGCUGUGGGCCAGUUCUCUGAGGAGGAGGCCAGGCCCCGAAGGGAAAGAGACAUAGCCAAGUGUGACAUGGAGGCUGCCGAGCUGGCUGGCUUGAAGGACCCACGGAGAAGGUGAUGAUGAGAGCCUGCAGGCACGAUUGGAAAAUAACACAGUGAGACUCCCAGGACUUUGUAAUAUCCCUGUGGGGAGCGCCCUGGGGACCCCUGCAUCUGAGAGCCUGGGAUCUCCAGGGAAUUUAGACUGAAGUAGAUAAUACAUUAACUUAGCAAAUGAGAUAAUGAAUUUCUACAACUGAAUCUGUGGACUGAGACUUACACAUAUGCAGGGCUCGUAAAGUACGUGAACUAAGGCAAAUGACUGAGGGUUUCCAGGUGGCGGUGUUCCACCAUACAAAAAGCUGAAGGGUGAAGGACAUGGCAUUGAAAAAUAUCUCAGGCGCUAUGGUAACUGGAGUGUGUGUGAGUGUGCACACACGUGUAAAAUUUCAAGUCACACUGAGCACCUACUAUGUGUCAGGCUUGAUGUUGGGAACACAGUGAUGGGAGGAAUAAGCCUGAUUCCUUGGUGGUCAGAGUCUUAGUUGCGUGAGCACGUGAUUACCAAUGAAAGGUGAGCUCUCUGCUGGGAGGAGUACUGGGGCCGCGGGGAGCCUCUAGAAGGGGUGCCUGUCCACAUCUGGAGUCAUGCAGAGCCGUCGGAUCCAAGUUGGAAAAUAAAGCCAGUGGAUAUUUGCAGAGCAAAGUAGGGGAGGAGGUUUGGUGGGGGCAAGAACUGUGGUAGGCUGAAGGAACAGCAUAUUUAGCAGAAGGAACAGCAUAUUCAGCUCAAGGAACAGCAUAUUCCUGAGUGGAGAGAAAGCAUGGUAAGUCACAGGAACCAAGGGGAUAAUGCGCAGGUGAGACUUACACACUGACAUGGCAAGUGGCAACCAUGGGAGAUGAGGCUGGAGAACUGAGCAGCAUAAAGCCACUUAGAUGCCAC
ensembl:lincRNA